ensembl:lincRNA
CAGAAGCCUCCAGCAGACACACAAUCAGCGCUCAACGCAGACAAUACCCAGGCUGCAGAAAUCAUGUGUCCAGCUUAGAUUCACCAGGACAAGUCCAUUUAAAACAGCUUCCAUCCUCUCUCCCCCAUAUUUUCAUACUAUGGUUCCUGACUUCUGGCUCCUUUGCUCCAACCAAACCUAUCCAGCCAGUACCUCUGUGGUACCUGGGCACUAAGAGGCAACCAAUUCCUGUUUCAAAUUUUCUGGCCACUGCAGGGAUUCUUUCAUGUCAGCAGAUACUCUCUGAGCACCUAUUAUGGGCUGGGCACUAUGCGACAGCAAAGAAGACCCUGGUCCUUUCAACUGUGCUUGAAAUGGAAUAAGACAAAAGACAAAUGCAUAUUUGAGAAGAACUUUCAUUGGUAGAGGCUGUGUCCAGUUUGUCUUGCCUUCUCCUUCCCUUCCCCUCCAGCUCUGAGGAAUUACAUGACAGAGGAAAGCUUUCCAGUGUGUCAUCCAGUGUGGCCCUGCAGCAGGGCCAUGGCCUCUGACACAAAGAACAUCUGGUUUUCAAAUACAAGUCCUGCAGCCAAGAUUCAGGUACUUGCAUUUCAGGGCCCAACAUAAUCCAACAUCCAGAUUGGUUUACCCGGCUUGUGGGUAAUAUGUGAGUGAAUUUGUGAUACAUGAUUCAGCUGGAAAUUUGAAUGAUUUUAACUGCAAUGAAAUGGGAAUGAGACUUCCCAGUGCCUAAAGUUUCAUAUUUGUACUGCUGUUAGCACAAAAGACAGUUAUGGUGUGUGUGAAAAAUGGUAGUCUGACUAGCUGUUCACAAACAAUAUGCUUUUUACACAUUUUAAUUGCUUUUCUGUUAAGGAAGGUAUAAUAGCAAUCAUAAAUGUAUAGCAUCCCCUGGCUGGUGAGUUGCAUUUCAUUAGCAGGUAAUAUGUCCUGAAUAUUGGUAAAAAGGGAGUAAAAGACAGACUCAUAUUUAUGGGGAAGUUGGAGGUCAAGAUACUGCUUUCAUGAAACACAAUUAUACAAAAUCAUGUUUACAUGCAGAUCUCUGUAGAGAAAUAAUGUGAAAUACUAUUGUAAGCUAAUGUCUGAGGAUUUUCUUUGCUAUAUUUUUCUUGUUUUCCCACAGCAGCCAGUAGGUUAGUGGAAUAUAAAUUGAAGUAUGCAGUAGCUUUUCUGAAGACUGAGGUAAUAAGAUGGAAUCAUCUUGAAAACGGACACAAGGGAAGAAAGGGAUUUUUAGUCUCUGAAGUAUCCAGAGUACCAAGUUUCUAUCAUAAACCAUGGAGUGGGUAAAAAGCCUAGUUUUCCCAUCAUUAAGAAAGGUUAUGGAAGUUUUUCCAGCUCAAAGGAGAGUGAGAUUCAGAGGGAGACCUAAUUGGUGCCUGCAUACUGCUGGGUCCCAAAGAGGGGGCAAUAGAAACCCCAAAAAGAAAGAUUAGAGACAAAAUAUAUUGGGAUGGUUGCCUCUAUUCUCAGAGAUUAGCUAAGGGAACCCCCCAGCUGUUCAGAGAAACAAAACAGCAAUGGAUGAGGGAGGAUCUGAGGUGGGCAGAACUUAGAGGGCCCCACUGCAACAUAGGGCAAGAGAGCAGCUGUCAGAUCCCGCUCUUCUGAAGAGGAACACUGGUGCAGCUGAGACCAGGGGACCUAAAGGAGCCUGGGAUAGGGGGCAGAGGACACAGAAGGCCUAGACCCGACUUCUGGAGUGUAUGGACUGUGAGCAUUGGCAGUGGAGCCCAAGGGGGCCCAGUGGGCUUGGUUCCACUUCAACAGAAUCCAGCAGGGAUAGAGGAUGAUUGAAGACCAAGGGCCCCCAUCCCCUCCUGACAUCAAGAGGCUAUAUACGCCCUACUUACCUUCUCCUGCUGCUAUUCCACCCCCAGGAGAAAGGAAGGACAAGGCAGAAAAAGACUAAUAUGGAGGAAAGUGUGAAUUACCUAAAAGAGACUGAGUUUUCAGUGGGCAAAAUGAGAUUUUCCACUGUUAGUGGAAAUGAGGACUGUUGACCAAGGCUAAAGUCAGUUAUAGAGAAACAAAGCUAUCUGUUAGCAUACCUGUCUGUCUUUCAUUUUCAUGCCCACUAUAUAUGCACACAUACAUACAUGCAAGACUAAAUAAAUGUUUUUGUCUGUGUCUUUUUUCAUGUCACAGGCCCUGGAGCCAAACAGACCUGGACUUGAUUCUUGGCUGACCCAUUUACCUGGAUGUUGUUUGAGGAUUAAAUGAGAUACAGAGCUUAGCCCUUAAUAAAUGUCAUUUUAUCACAACCAUGAUAAUAAGAAUAAUAAAUAUUAUCAUUGUAUGUUUUCUC